rnacentral:rRNA from 1 species
GGGGGGGGGGGGGGGGGGGGGGGGGGGGGGGGGGGCGGGGGGGCGGGGGGGGAGCGGGCUCCUCGGGCGUUGGCGGCGGGCGGGUGAGUAACACGUGGAUAACCUACCUAUAAGACUGGGAUAACUUCGGGAAACCGGAGCUAAUACCGGAUAAUAUCUUGAACCGCAUGGUUCAAUAGUGAAAGACGGUUUUGCUGUCACUUAUAGAUGGAUCCGCGCCGCAUUAGCUAGUUGGUAAGGUAACGGCUUACCAAGGCAACGAUGCGUAGCCGACCUGAGAGGGUGAUCGGCCACACUGGAACUGAGACACGGUCCAGACUCCUACGGGAGGCAGCAGUAGGGAAUCUUCCGCAAUGGGCGAAAGCCUGACGGAGCAACGCCGCGUGAGUGAUGAAGGUCUUCGGAUCGUAAAACUCUGUUAUUAGGGAAGAACAAAUGUGUAAGUAACUAUGCACGUCUUGACGGUACCUAAUCAGAAAGCCACGGCUAACUACGUG